rnacentral:rRNA from 1 species
ACGGUACCUAACGAAUAAGCACCGGCUAACUCCGUGCCAGCAGCCGCGGUAAUACGGAGGGUGCAAGCGUUACUCGGAAUCACUGGGCGUAAAGGACGCGUAGGCGGAUUAUCAAGUCUCUUGUGAAAUCCUAUGGCUUAACCAUAGAACUGCUUGGGAAACUGGUAAUCUAGAGUGAGGGAGAGGCAGAUGGAAUUGGUGGUGUAGGGGUAAAAUCCGUAGAGAUCACCAGGAAUACCCAUUGCGAAGGCGAUCUGCUGGAACUCAACUGACGCUAAUGCGUGAAAGCGUGGGGAGCAAACAGGAUUAGAUACCCUGGUAGUCCACGCCCUAAACGAUGUAUACUAGUUGUUGCUAAGCUAGUCUUGGCAGUAAUGCACCUAACGGAUUAAGUAUACCGCCUGGGGAGUACGGUCGCAAGAUUAAAACUCAAAGGAAUAGACGGGGACCCGCACAAGCGGUGGAGCAUGUGGUUUAAUUCGAAGAUACGCGAAGAACCUUACCCGGACUUGAUAUCUAACAAAUCAUCUAGAGAUAGAAGAGUGUCUGCUUGCAGAAAUGUUAAGACAGGUGCUGCACGGCUGUCGUCAGCUCGUGUCGUGAGAUGUUGGGUUAAGUCCCGCAACGAGCGCAACCCACGUCAUUAGUUGCUAACAGUUCGGCUGAGCACUCUAAUGAGACUGCCUUCGUAAGGAGGAGGAAGGUGUGGACGACGUCAAGUCAUCAUGGCCCUUAUGUCCGGGGCGACACACGUGCUACAAUGGCAUAUACAAUGAGAAGCAAUAUCGCGAGAUGGAGCAAAUCUAUAAAAUAUGUCCCAGUUCGGAUUGGAGUCUGCAACUCGACUCCAUGAAGCCGGAAUCGCUAGUAAUCGUAGAUCAGCCAUGCUACGGUGAAUACGUUCCCGGGUCUUGUACUCACCGCCCGUCACACCAUGGGAGUUGAUUUCACUCGAAGCCGGAAUACUAGAUUAGUUACCGUCCACAGUGGAAUCAGCGACUGGGGUGAAGUCGUAACAAGGUAACCGUAGGAGAACCUGCGGUUGGAUCACCUCCUUUCUAGA